UACAGAGGGUGCGAGCGUUGUCCGGAAUUAUUGGGCGUAAAGAGCUCGUAGGCGGCCUGUUGCGUCCGCUGUGAAAUCCCGGGGCUUAACCCCGGGCGUGCAGUGGAUACGGGCUGGCUGGAGGCAGGCAGGGGAGAACGGAAUUCCCGGUGUAGCGGUGAAAUGCGCAGAUAUCGGGAGGAACACCGGUGGCGAAGGCGGUUCUCUGGGCCUGUUCUGACGCUGAGGAGCGAAAGCGUGGGGAGCAAACAGG
rnacentral:rRNA from 1 species